GACGAACGCUGGCGGCGUGCUUAACACAUGCAAGUCGAACGGUGAAGGUGGAGCUUGCUCCGCCGGAUCAGUGGCGAACGGGUGAGUAACACGUGGGCAACCUGCCCCAGACUCUGGGAUAACUCCUCGAAAGAGGCGCUAAUACCGGAUACGAACUCCUUGGGCAUCCUUGGAGUUGGAAAGUUUUUCGGUCUGGGAUGGGCCCGCGGCCUAUCAGCUUGUUGGUGGGGUAACGGCUCCCCAAGGCGACGGCGGGUAGCCGGCCUGAGAGGGCGACCGGCCACACUGGGACUGAGACACGGCCCAGACUCCUACGGGAGGCAGCAGUGGGGAAUAUUGCGCAAUGGGCGAAAGCCUGACGCAGCAACGCCGCGUGAGGGAUGACGGCCUUCGGGUUGUAAACCUCUUUCAGCAGGGAAGAAGCGAAAGUGACGGUACCUGCAGAAGAAGCACCGGCUAACUACGUGCCAGCAGCCGCCGUAA
rnacentral:rRNA from 1 species